CAAUAGCGUAUAUUAACGUUGUUGCAGUUGAAAAGCUCGUAGUUGAACUUUUGGUAGGAGCGACCUGGCCUUGGGCGCAUGCCCUUGUUUGCCGUGUGUCGUGUCUGGCCAUCCUUUUCCGUUUCGGCGGGAAUCUUUUACUGUGAGUAAACUGGAGUGCUCAAAACAAGACGUUUGUUUGGUACAUUAAAGCAUGGAAUAAUAAGAUAGGACCUGGUUACUAUUUUGUUGGUUUGCAUAGCUAGGUAAUGAUUAACAGGGACAGUUGGGGGUAUUCGUAUUUAAUUGUCAGAGGUGAAAUUCUUGGAUUUAUGAAAGACGAACGACUGCGAAAGCAUUUACCAAGGAUGUUUUCAUUAA
rnacentral:rRNA from 1 species